UUUGUAUCACAGACUGCUAGAUAACUAUAUAUUUAAAAAAAAACCCACAUAAUUAGAAACUUAUUUUUAACUUUAGCAAGCAGUUAAAGACAUUACAGACAUUAUGGAUAGGGGUUUCGAUACCCAGUAGUGUAAUACAUUGGGACAUAGAAGAAUAGGAUUUGUCAGUUGAUGCAUCUUAGAUCUGAGAUAUGACGUCCCAAAACGGGUCAACUGGAAAAGAGACUUUGUUACUGAAGGUAUUAGCCGCCGGCAGUACACCAAAGACAUUUGCAGGAAUCCAAUUGUACUUGAAGAACGGUUGCCAUUACCUGAACACAAAUCUUUACAUAGAAAAAAACCCAAUAUAUUAGUUUAUACUUCUACACCAGAAGUCCUUGGAAGUUGGAAGUUUGGAAAGCAAUUACAAAAUAUUCCGUGUGAACAAUAACGGCGGUAUUUCCAGACCGAUGUGGACAGUAUAUUAUCUUUUUUUCGUACAUGUUUAGUUUAAGCGCAGUUGGGUAUAAUUUAAGAUAAACGAUGCAUUUUCUUCAAUGAUUAUUUGCAGUAUUUUAAUUUGUUAAAAAAUUAUAUCAAAAAAGACUUUACAGAAUAAUGUUUAUGUGUAUUUAACACCUAUUCGUAAUAUACUUAAUCUAACAUUUUCUUGUUUUUCAUAACGUCCUCUUGUAAAACUUUUUUUUUAAAUAUAUUUGAAUGAUUGCCAUUUUACACCUCCAAUAUGUAACAUACAUUUUAUACAUGUUAAGUGGGAGCUAAGUUUUUUUUUUUGUUUACACUUAAUUUAGAAACAUUAAAGUGUGUCCCUUGUUAAAACCGCUGAAUAUAUAAUUAGUGGUUUGGUAAACUAUUUUAGUCCAUGUGUUAUUGCACUUAAAUUGAGUUUAAUUAAAAUUGCAUUUGCUGAUAAGCUCGUUGUAUUGACAAUAGAACUUACCAAAAUAUGACUUCAAUCGAAACUGUUCAAAUUUGAUCACAUAUAAUCUGUUUUGUUUGUGAUGUGACGUCAGAGUGCGCUAGCAAGAGGAAAAGUAUCGUCUGCGAGAAAAAAAACCGCUCUAGCAUUAGAGAGGAAAGACGUUCUGAAACGUCAGUAAUUUGACCACUGACCGUGUGGAAACUGACUGUAAACUGUUUCGCCAAGCACUCUAUGUUUUCUGUGAACUGAUAUUGAACUUGUGAUCCGCCAAUGCGCAUACCAUUCCAUCAAACUGUUCUGUAUAACCGCCUAUCAGCUGCCAAUGUUCAAGUUCUUUAAGGUUGCGUGAUUUAUAUCUUUGUUUAUUAUUAUUAUUUGGGUAUUUGUCUAGACAUGUAAUAUAUUAAAUAUCUAAAAGUUAA